GCAUGGUGGGAUGUGGUGGGGCUGGCAACUCUAUAAAGGGGCUCUGGCUGCCCCCACACAGUACAGGGAAGGGCAGCAAACAGAAAGGAGAUGCUGGAUCAAAAGCCAUGUGAGCCUGUUGCCUCAAGCCACCUCAGCCAGCAGCUGAUUCCACUUUGCAGCCCACGUGGAAUUUGCCACAGGACUUCUGUUGACUAUUUUCCUGCCUGUGUUUUGGGCCACGGACAUUAGACCUACUCCUCUAAGUACUGAAAGGCCAUCAUAACGUCUCCCCGGAGCCCUCCCUUCUCCAGGAUGAAGACGACCUAAACUCUCUCAGCCUGUUCUCAAAGCAGAGAGGUUCCAGCCCUCAGGUCACAUUAGAGACCCCCUCUGGAUCCAUUCCAACAGGUCAAUGUGUCUCCUGCGCAGAGGGCUCCAGAGAUGGACACAGUGCAAGUGAAACACCAUCGAGCCCAACCUCCUCGCCACGGGCAGUGCCAUCUCCCACUCACUCAGCUUGCUCAAGCCUCCAUCCAACCUGACCUCCACCACUUCCCUGGCAAUUUGUUCGUCCACCCUCCUCCUGCUCCAGCAUUCCUCAGCAGGGCCACCGCGGGCACAGGCUGCCGCACCUGAGGUGGCUGGCGGCGGCCACCUGCCGCAGCAGGAUGGGGAAGCGGGCGAGGAUGGGGCUGCUGCGGGCACGGGGCACGUCGAGCUGCAGCUGCCGGCGCAGGUAGCCACCGAGCAGGUGGAGGCGAGCGGCGGGCAGGUACCGGCCGGCUUCCACGGCGCCCCACACCUUCUCGGGGACGUCCAGCAGCAGCUUCAGCUGCGCCGCCGCCCGGUAGAAGCUUUCCUGAACAGGCGGCCGAGCCUGGAGGGAAGGAAGGAGGGGAUCAGAGCGGCCUCCGGGAUCACCCCCGGCCGCACCGCUGCCCCUCGCCCCUCUCACCGGCGCUGCGGGGCCAGGCCGGGCCGUCCCGCCCCGCUGCAGGCCCCGCACGGCACCCAGGAGGCGCUCGGCGCUGAACCGCAUCUCGGCGAUAGUGUCGGCCGCUUCGAUCAGGUCGCGGUACCGCUCGCCCACCAUCUGCCGCAGCUCCUCCCGCUUCUGCUCGAUGCCGGCCCGCAGCCGCCGCUCCACCUCCCGCAGCUCGGCCGCUGUGUGCGCCUCGAAGAGCGCCUCGGCGUCCGCGCCCCGCGCCGCCAUGGCUGCCUCGGCCGGGGGCCGGAGCGGCGCUGACGUGGCCGCCGCCGCCGCCAUCUUUGCGGCGGGAAAGAGGAGGGCACUUCCGGGAGGGGAGGGCGCCGCCGCCGCCAUGUUUGUGACGGGAAGGUGAGGGCACCGCCAUCUUUGUGCAGGGCAGAGCCGCUGCCGGGCGUCGUUGCCAUGGCGACUCGGCGCCGGGCAGCGGAGGUGGAGAAAACGGGGAUUAGAAAGAUAGAUAUUUGUUUGAUUGUGCGUCCU